GGAAGGAUGUUAAAGGACUGACUCCCAGUUAAAAGUUCCACUUCAGUUUGUAAAAGCCACAGAGGGACAGCGGGGGAUGCUCUGACCACGUUGGAUGAGAGCCUGUACCCAUGGAUGUAUUGUAAUCUUAUCUGUAUGGACAAAGUGCACUGGAGCUCAACUACACUAGUACAAAGAAACCAAACCUGCUCUAUAACAGGACUUCAACAGCCAAAACCUGAGAGAACUGUGGCGUAGUCCGUGUUGAUCACACAGCCGGUCAUUCUGGAUCAGCUGGGCGAUGCUGCGCACUUCCAACAGGACACAGCUGAUAGUGACUUUAUGAACUUUAUCACACCAGGACGAUGGACGAUGUUUACCAGCAUCCUGUUUUCUUCGAUUGUGACA